rnacentral:lncRNA from 1 species
CUUAGCCAACGGUCCCUUAACUAGCCUAGAUUUGGUAGCUCGUAAACUGGUAUUCAUGGAUAAGUUUAUAGUCUUCUUAAAGUUUCGCUGUAAAUCACGGGUAGUCCCAUAACUUUCUCGAAGCAAAUAUGUAAGGUCCUCAUAUGAAAGGUCAUCGUCAGACCAUAGCACAAUCUCAUUUAUGAUUGAGGCCCAAGGUUCUGGAACAGUUUCAUAUAACCUUUGUAUCUUCACCUUAUCCCUUAAGCUAUGGUGUAUCUCCC